rnacentral:lncRNA from 1 species
AAGAAAUCUGCUCUCAUACUUGUUUUUGUUCAACAGUACAUAUGUCUUUUUUCUCCCUGUGGCUACCUAAUCACUUUUCUUUGUCAUUGGGUUUGAAAAUGUGCCAUAAGCCUUGUUUUUAGUUUUCUUCAUAUUUCUUGUGCAUGUGGUUUCUUGAGACUCUUAGAAGGGUUUAUAAUUUUCACUAAAAUUUGAAAAUGAAGUGUAAUUAUUUCUUCAAAUGUUUUCUCUCCCCCAUUUCUUUGGUGUCUUCUUUAGGCCAAUCAAAUGUGGUCCAUUAAGCCUGUUAAAAUUGUAGUAAAGUUCACUGAUGCUCUAUUCAUAUUUUUACUCUUCUUUAUGUUUUUGGAUAGAUUCCAUGAUCAUGAAAGUUUACUAAUCCUUUCUUCUGUAAAGUAUAAUGUUUCAUUAAUCCUAUAAAUGUAUGUUUCAUCUCAGACAUUGAAGUUUUCUUUUCUAGAAGUGUGAUUUGGUAGGUGUUUUUAAUAUUCUCCAUGUAUGGAUUUGAAUUUUGAUUGAUUGAUUUGUCUUCUCAUUAAGGUUAAUUGUUCUUUUUC